GGAGGAUGGUAAACAUCAAAGAUGAUAUUAUGUUCUCAAAGUCACAUAAAAUUGGUCGUCAUGUCAGGAGAUGGAGUUGUCAGAAGAGUACAUGAGAGGCCGGAACUAAGCAGAUCCUGACCCAGAGCUCCAAGUUCCCAACAACGCUAAGAAUCUAUGACUGGGGAGAAGGGACACAACCUCUUGCAGGGAACCACCUGCAAUCCAAAUGUGAUAGCUGGAUCUCCAUCAGCCAUCUUGGACCAUAAGUCGACCUUGAGGAUGGAAACCACAUCCUAGGAUAUGAUGAAGAAACUGAAGUCAGGAUGAUGACGUGACUUUUCCGAGACUGUGUCGUUAAUGGCCAAAUAACACACCUGACCCUUCAUGGAGCCGAAAACAAAAAUUAAGCUUCCUAGAAUCCUAGUAAAUAAGGUGGUCCAUGUUCAAGUCCAGCUUUCCCAGGAAUGUAAGCACCAAAACUGAGACUUCUCACCCAGCAACUCCAGAGCGGGGUCUCCCUGGGGUCACCAGGGUCAUGGUCAGAGACAAUGUCUGCUUACAGAAUCCUAGGGAG
rnacentral:lncRNA from 1 species